GGAUUAGGGGUUAGGGAGGGUUAGGGUUUAGUGGUAGGAAUAGGAAACUAAAACAGUGGCUCUCCCCAUGCAGUUCAACAACUACAUGGUUUGGAGUGGAGAGCCAAAGGCAAGGCACGGGCCGGUGCAUGUCACUUUGGGUUCCGCAUACUGUGUACAGCCCCAAAGGAGAGGUGAGGAGAGGAAAGGACACAUCACUAGUAGUGGACCCAAGGAUCAUGGAGUGUUUUGGCCAUUAUCACAAAACACCCUCACCUGAGGAAGGCCCUGCCGAGGUUGAUCAAGCCCUGGAGUGUGUCCCAUAUCCAACUGGAGUCUUGUUGCUGAGAGCUAAAGUUGGACUUCCUGUGUCACAGGAAGUAGGAAGUGGGUAGAUGGCCAGCAGUGUUGACCGCAUGCGCCACCACUCGAGCCGAUCCCCGUAUGCGUGCUAGCGCCCUCGGCCACGCAGACCUCCGGGUGCGUGCCAGCGCCCUCGUCCGAGCCGAUCCCCAACUGUGUACCAGCGCCUUCGGCCGAGCUGACCUCUGGGUCUGUGCCAGCGCCACCUGAUGAGCUGUCCCCCAACUAAGAAUAAUAGUGUUCCAUUAAUGUAUUUCCAAAUAAAGUCCUUCAAUUUUGUUAAUUAUAUUGUUAUAACAGCUGUGUACAGAUGUUUUUAUUUUAUGUUUUCUUUAUCGUAUUUUUUAAACGAUUAUAGAUGUAUAUAGAUCAAACGUAACAUUUAUAUAUUACCAACUACAGAGUGAAAAUUAUUUAAUCAUGAAAUGAAAUAUAUUGUAAAAUAUAAUGU